AUCUACUUGACGAGUCCCAAAUAGGGCAAAACGCGCGUUCUGGAU
rfam:Schistosoma rodhaini strain Burundi genome assembly, scaffold: SROB_scaffold0000647